GGGACUGAGACACGGCCCAGACUCCUACGGAGGCAGCAGUGGGAAUUUUGGACAAUGGCGCAAGCCUGAUCCAGCCAUGCCGCGUGAGUGAAGAAGGCCUUCGGGUUGUAAAGCUCUUUCGGCGGGGAAGAAAUUGCACGGGUUAAUACCCUGUGUAGAUGACGGUACCCGAAUAAGAAGCACCGGCUAACUACGUGCCAGCAGCCGCGGUAAUACGUAGGGUGCGAGCGUUAAUCGGAAUUACGUGGGCGUAAAGCGUGCGCAGGCGGUUUGGUAAGUCAGAUGUGAAAUCCCCGGGGCUCAACCUGGGAACUGCAUUUGAGACUGCCAGGCUGGAGUUUGGCAGAGGGGGUGGAAUUCCACGUGUAGCAGUGAAAUGCGUAGAGAUGUGGAGGAACACCGAUGGCGAAGGCAGCCCCCUGGGCCAAUACUGACGCUCAUGCACGAAAGCGUGGGGAGC
rnacentral:rRNA from 1 species